rnacentral:rRNA from 1 species
GACGAACGCUGGCGGCGUGCUUAACACAUGCAAGUCGAACGGAAAGGCUCCAGCUUGCUGGAGUACUCGAGUGGCGAACGGGUGAGUAACACGUGGGUAAUCUGCCCUGCACUCUGGGAUAAGCCUGGGAAACUGGGUCUAAUACUGGAUAUGACCUUUCUCCUUAUGGGGUUUGGUGGAAAGUUUUUCGGUGUAGGAUGAGCCCGCGGCCUAUCAGCUUGUUGGUGGGGUGAUGGCCUACCAAGGCGACGACGGGUAGCCGGCCUGAGAGGGUGAUCGGCCACAUUGGGACUGAGAUACGGCCCAGACUCCUACGGGAGGCAGCAGCGGGGAAUAUUGCACAAUGGGCGGAAGCCUGAUGCAGCGACGCCGCGUGAGGGAUGACGGCCUUCGGGUCGUAAACCUCUUUCAGCAGGGACGAAGCGUAAGUGACGGUACCUGCAGAAGAAGCACCGGCUAACUAUGUG